UAAGAGGUGAGGGUGAUCAAAAAAAUCGUAUAAAAAGGAGAGAGAAAAGGCCAGAGACAUCAGUCGAGUGAGCAUCUCCGACACGGCAACAACUGCUGUGGCCUAUCUGUCACCAUCUGCCUUCUUCACUGUAUUGCCAGUUAGCACCCAUGGAUAAUAAGGUGUCGUAUGCUGUUGGGUGUUGUAUCGUUGAUGGCUGGGUCGACCACUGGUGUACCGAUGUCCUUACUACACAAAAGCAACUAACGCAACGACCAGUUACUGUACCGAGGUCUACAAGUACAACACUACUAAAGCACCGGAGUCCACAACUCACGCUGCCCCGAUCCACUACAGUGACGCCCUGAAGUAUUACUCUGCCCCGAGUUACUACACCACCAAGGGGACGGAGCAGGACUGCGCAUGCUGCCCCAUUCUACUACACCAAGGCUCCCAGGUAUUACUCUGUUCUCAGCUACUUAUUGCACCUAUUUUCCUAAAUACUACUCUGUUCUCAUCUGCUACACCGAGGCUCAUGCUGAUAACUCCACCAAAUCGGUCGAAUACUACACCGAAGCGGCAAAGUACUUCUCUGCCCCGAUCUACACAACCACAACUGAGGCGGCCAAGGAUGACGCAGUCCAGACUUACUACACAGAAGCUGCCCUUUCGUGCUACGUUGAACAGAAAUACUACACUGAUGCUCCAGUCUACUACACCACGACCUACGCUACACCGCAGCCCCGAAGUACUACACCGAAGAAGCUGCCUAAUCCCCAACAACAGCGUAUGCUGCCUAGUUUACUACACCGAGGCUCCCAAGUACUACAUCACUAAGUCACCGGAAUUCUACACGUCUAUGUAUGCUGCCCAUGCCUACUACACCGAGGCGCCGCAUUACUACAACACUGAAGCGCUCAAGUACAGCACUACAACCUACGCUGCCCCGAGCUACUACACCUACGUCCCGAAGUAUUACUGUGCUUAAAAGGAGUCGUCUGGAAAAAAAGAAGUCGUGUCCGAACUGCAGUGCUCCAUCUGUCACCAACUGCAUUCCUCAUCGUGUAACCAAUUCGCCGUUAUGGUAUGGGCGUAUGGCGUUGUGCUCCUGUUGGUUGUUGUAUCGUUGAUGGGUGGGUCGACUGCUGGUGUAGCGAUGUGUCCUUGGUAUGGUGGAAACCGAACUACAAUGCCGCCGCCGUUCUACACAACUUACGCAACGACCAGUUCCUGCACCGAGGUCAUCAAGUACUACACUAGUAAAGCAACGGAGUUUUAGACCACAACUUACGCCGCCCCGAGCCACUACACUGAAGCAUUACUCUGUCCUGAGUUACUACACAAUCUAGGCGAUGGAGUGCUACAUGGAUACGUAUGCUGCCCAUCCUACUACACCGAGGCUUGUGCUACACCAAGGCUACCGCUGAUUACUCAACCACAACUGAGGCGGCCAAGGUUGACGCUGUUCCGACUUCUACACCAAAGCUGCUCUUUCGUGCUACGUUGAACAGGAAUACUACACUGAUGCUCCAGUCUACCUCACCAUGACCCACGCUACACCUAGCUGCAACACAGCAGACAUCAAGUACUACACCGAAGAAGCCGCCUAGUUUACUACAUCGAAGAAUAAGUAUUACUCUGCUCCAAACAACUACCAAACUGAGGUUCAUAUUUAUUGCAAUUCUCCCGAUUAUGUCACCACUACUUACGCUGCUCCAACCUUUACACUGAAGUUCUGAAGUAUUUCUCUGGAUAUGUUGAAAGAUUGCUGAAAUACAAGAUUGAUUGAUAAAUCACAAGUGCAUGUCUCUAUUUUCUCCUGAAGUACCUUUCCUGCUGCUGAUAAUUGCAUGAUAUGAGAAAAUAUUUCUGAGUGCUAUGUAAACUUACAAAUCUUGCAAAAUACAAUAAAAAUUCAAACUCA